ensembl:lncRNA
UUUCAGAGCAGUUGGAGGCCACGGAAGGAGAGUUGUAUGGCAUUGAAGCUCAUCUGGAGGUUUGUUAGCACGGUGUCCAAAGAAGGGCCAGAUGUAUACAGAAUGGUGUCGUCUGCAUAGAGGUGGAUCAGGGAAUCACCAGCAGCAUAAAUAAUAACUCAAUCUGGUAACUACUCUACUCUAUGGGAACUUGACUCGCUCUCAGUAAGAUGAUGAAGGUCAGUAACACUUUCUAUGAGGUAUAUAUGCAAAUAAGGCAUUAUAGUGCAUUAUAAAACUUGCAUAAGCUGUCAUAACAACUCAAGUAGUUAUAACAUCCCAAUUUAGGAUCUUACUUAGGCCUACUCAAAACAAAUAACAAUUGUUCAAAGUCUGCAUUGAGAGAGGUAAGAUGUUAUAAUCAUAUAACAUGUCAUGUGUCAUGUAACAGUGUGGAUGCCAGGUGUAAUGUAACAGUGUGGACACUAGGUGUAAUGUAACAGUGUGGAUGCUAGGUGUAAUGUAACAGUGUGGAUGCCAGGUGUAAUGUAACAGUGUGGACGCCAGGUGUAAUGUAACAUUGUGGACACUAGGUGUAAUGUAACAGUGUGGACGCUAGGUGUAAUGUAACAUUGUGGACACUAAGUGUAAUGUAACAGUGUGGACGCUAGGUGUAAUGUAACAUUGUGGACACUAGGUGUAAUGUAACAGUGUGGACGCUAGGUGUAAUGUAACAUUGUGGACACUAGGUGUAAUGUAACAGUGUGG